rnacentral:snoRNA from 1 species
AUGCAAAUCAUCUUCAGCUCUGCACUUCAGUUGCUUUGUUGUCGUUCCCUUUGCAUAGAUUAAUUGUGAGCUUGCUAUCUUGGGCAACCUGUAUGUGGUUGCUGAAGACGUCGUUCACAGACAG